rfam:Segniliparus rugosus ATCC BAA-974 genomic scaffold acqcO-supercont2.2, whole genome shotgun sequence.
GGGGCUGACAGGUUUCGACUUCGAACGUCGAUGAAGGAGAAGCGUGCCGGUGCAGGCAACUGACCACCGUAUAAGCGUCGUUGUAAAAAAUAUAAGCGCCGACUCUACUCAGCGCGACUACGCCCUCGCUGCCUAAGCGAUAGCGUGUCUGUCAGCCCGGGAACGCCCUCGGCCCGGUUCCUGGCAUCAGCAAGAGGGAUCCAACCGCUAGCCCGGUCACGGGGUUGGCGGUGACACCAAACAGUGACUGGGGCCGUCUUCCCGGCUUGUCCGUGUGACCGGGAGGCCCGAGCAAUGACAGAGCGGACUGCGCACGGAGAAGGCCUUUUGAAGCGACGAAGGACCCGAGUUCGAUUCUCGGCAGCUCCACCC